AGUCGACGCUUCUUUCCUCCCGAGUGCUUGCACUCGAUUGGAAAGAGGAGUGGCGGACGGGUGAGUAACACGUGGGUAACCUACCCAUCAGAGGGGGAUAACACUUGGAAACAGGUGCUAAUACCGCAUAACAGUUUAUGCCGCAUGGCAUAAGAGUGAAAGGCGCUUUCGGGUGUCGCUGAUGGAUGGACCCGCGGUGCAUUAGCUAGUUGGUGAGGUAACGGCUCACCAAGGCCACGAUGCAUAGCCGACCUGAGAGGGUGAUCGGCCACACUGGGACUGAGACACGGCCCAGACUCCUACGGGAGGCAGCAGUAGGGAAUCUUCGGCAAUGGACGAAAGUCUGACCGAGCAACGCCGCGUGAGUGAAGAAGGUUUUCGGAUCGUAAAACUCUGUUGUUAGAGAAGAACAAGGACGUUAGUAACUGAACGUCCCCUGACGGUAUCUAACCAGAAAGCCACGGCUAACUACGUGCCAGCAGCCGCGGUAAUACGUAGGUGGCAAGCGUUGUCCGGAUUUAUUGGGCGUAAAGCGAGCGCAGGCGGUUUCUUAAGUCUGAUGUGAAAGCCCCCGGCUCAACCGGGGAGGGUCAUUGGAAACUGGGAGACUUGAGUGCAGAAGAGGAGAGUGGAAUUCCAUGUGUAGCGGUGAAAUGCGUAGAUAUAUGGAGGAACACCAGUGGCGAAGGCGGCUCUCUGGUCUGUAACUGACGCUGAAGCUCGAAAGCG
rnacentral:rRNA from 1 species